AUUAGGGUUCGAUUCCGGAGAGGGAGCCUGAGAAACGGCUACCACAUCUAAGGAAGGCAGCAGGCGCGUAAAUUACCCAAUCCUAAUUCAGGGAGGUAGUGACAAGAAAUAACGGGUCGGGGUUCAUCCCCGGGACUGAAAUGAGAUGAAUUUACACCCCUUUUCGAGGAACAAUUGGAGGGCAAGUCUGGUGCCAGCAGCCGCGGUAAUUCCAGCUCCAAUAGCGUAUAUUAAAGUUGUUGCAGUUAAAAAGCUCGUAGUUGGAUUUCUGGUAGGAUUUCGAAGCCCGCUUGUUGCGUGUGCUGAGAAACCCUGCCAUCCUUCUGUUAACUCUUCACGGUAUUCAUUUACCGGUUGAGGGCUCAGAUAUUUUACCUUGAGAAAAUCAGAGCGUUUCAGGCAGGCUUGCGCCGGAAUGCAUUAGCAUGGAAUAAUAGAAUAGGACUUUAGUCUCCUUUGUUGGUUUGAGGGACUGAAGUAAUGAUUAAUAGGGAUAGUUGGGGGCAUUAGUAUUUAAUUGUCAGAGGUGAAAUUCUCGGAUUUGUUAAAGACUAACUUAUGCGAAAGCAUUUGCCAAGGAUGUUUUCA
rnacentral:rRNA from 1 species